rnacentral:rRNA from 1 species
UACGUAGGGCGCAAGCGUUGUCCGGAAUUAUUGGGCGUAAAGCGCGCGCAGGUGGUGCGGUAAGUCUGCCGUGAAAUCUCCCGGCUCAACUGGGAGGGGGCGGUGGAGACUGCCGGACUGGAGGGACCUAGAGGCCGGUGGAAUUCCCGGUGGAGUGGUGAAAUGCGUAGAGAUCGGGAGGAACACCAGUGGCGAAGGCGGCCGGCUGGGGGUGCCCUGACGCUGAGGCGCGAAGGCGUGGGGAGCGAACGGG